AGAGUUUGAUCCUGGCUCAGAUUGAACGCUGGCGGCAUGCUUUACACAUGCAAGUCGAGCGGCAGCGCGGGGGCAACCCUGGCGGCGAGCGGCGAACGGGUGAGGAAUACAUCGGAACGUACCCCGGAGUGGGGGAUAACGCCGCGAAAGCGGCGCUAAUACCGCAUAUGCUCUGUGGAGGAAAGUGGGGGACCCUGUAAGGGGCCUCACGCUCUGGGCGCGGCCGAUGUCCGAUUAGCUAGUUGGUGAGGUAAUGGCUCACCAAGGCGACGAUCGGUAGCUGGUCUGAGAGGAUGAUCAGCCACACUGGGACUGAGACACGGCCCAGACUCCUACGGGAGGCAGCAGUGGGGAAUUUUGGACAAUGGGGGCAACCCUGAUCCAGCCAUGCCGCGUGCGGGAAGAAGGCCUUCGGGUUGUAAACCGCUUUUAGUCGGGAAGAAAAGAUCAAGCCGAAUAAGCUUGGUUCUUGACGGUACCGGCGGAAUAAGCACCGGCUAACUACGUGCCAGCAGCCGCGGUAAUACGUAGGGUGCGAGCGUUAAUCGGAAUUACUGGGCGUAAAGCGUGCGUAGGCGGUUCGUUAAGUUCGUUGUGAAAGCCCCGGGCUCAACCUGGGAAUGGCAAUGGAAACUGGCGGGCUUGAGUAUGGCAGAGGGGGGUGGAAUUCCGCGUGUAGCAGUGAAAUGCGUAGAGAUGCGGAGGAACACCGAUGGCGAAGGCAGCCCCCUGGGCCAAUACUGACGCUCAGGCACGAAAGCGUGGGGAGCAAACAGGAUUAGAUACCCCCGUAGUCC
rnacentral:rRNA from 1 species